UACAGAGGGGGCAAGCGUUGUUCGGAAUUACUGGGCGUAAAAGGCGCGUAGGCGGCCUUCUAAGUCGAACGUGAAAUCCCCGGGCUCAACCCGGGAACUGCGUCCGAUACUGGAAGGCUUGAAUCCGGGAGAGGGAUGCGGAAUUCCAGGUGUAGCGGUGAAAUGCGUAGAUAUCUGGAGGAACACCGGUGGCGAAGGCGGCGACCUGGGCCAAUAUUGACGCUGAGGUGCGAAAGCCAGGGGAGCAAACGGG
rnacentral:rRNA from 1 species